rnacentral:rRNA from 1 species
GAUGAACGCUAGCGGCAGGCUUAACACAUGCAAGUCGAGGGGCAGCGCGAUGUAGCAAUACAUUGGCGGCGACCGGCGCACGGGUGCGUAACACGUAUGGAACUUACCCUUUACUGGGAGAUAGCCCGGAGAAAUCCGGAUUAAUAUCCCAUAAUAAACGAGGUGGCAUCACUUUGUUUUGAAAGCUCCGGCGGUAAAGGAUGGCCAUGCGCACGAUUAGCUAGUAGGUGAGGUAACGGCUCACCUAGGCUACGAUCGUUAGGGGGCCUGAGAGGGUUAUCCCCCACACUGGUACUGAGACACGGACCAGACUCCUACGGGAGGCAGCAGUGAGGAAUAUUGCGCAAUGGAGGCAACUCUGACGCAGCCAUGCCGCGUGCAGGAAGAAGGCGCUACGCGUUGUAAACUGCUUUUAACCGGGAAGAAACCCCAGGACGUGUCCUGGGUUGACGGUACCGGAGGAAUAAGCACCGGCUAACUUCGUGCCAGCAGCCGCGGUAAAGUAGUCG